UACGUAGGGGGCAAGCGUUGUCCGGAUUUAUUGGGCGUAAAGAGCGUGUAGGCGGCCAGACAGGUCCGCUGUGAAAACUCGAGGCUCAACCUCGAGAUGUCGGUGGAAACCGUCUGGCUAGAGUCCGGAAGAGGAGAGUGGAAUUCCCGGUGUAGCGGUGAAAUGCGCAGAUAUCAGGAGGAACACCAAUGGCGAAGGCAGCUCGCUGGGACGUGACUGACGCUGAGACGCGAAAGCGUGGGGAGCAAACAGG
rnacentral:rRNA from 1 species